rnacentral:rRNA from 1 species
GACGAACGCUGGUGGCGUGCUUAACACAUGCAAGUCGAACGGGAUUUAGUAAACAGAAGCCUCGGUGGAAGAUUACUAAUGAGAGUGGCGAACGGGUGAGUAACGCGUGAGCAACCUGCCUAUGACAGUGGGAUAGCCUCGGGAAACCGGGAUUAAUACCGCAUAAAAUCGUAGAAACACAUGUUUUAACGGUCAAAGAUUUAUCGGUCAUAGAUGGGCUCGCGUCUGAUUAGCUAGUUGGUGAGAUAACAGCCCACCAAGGCGACGAUCAGUAGCCGGUCUGAGAGGAUGAACGGCCACAUUGGAACUGAGACACGGUCCAAACGCCUACGGGAGGCAGCAGUGGGGAAUAUUGCACAAUGGGGGAAACCCUGAUGCAGCGACGCCGCGUGAACGAAGAAGGUAUUCGUAUCGUAAAGUUCUGUCCUAGGGGAAGAUAAUGACAGUACCAUAGAAGAAAGCUCCGGCUAAAUACGUGC